GUAAUACUAGACGGCGGUGAAAGGAAAGAGAGGCUGAAAGCUGGUUGACGGAAAGGAGUAUCUGCGAAUCAGAACAGAAGCUACUGGCAAAGGGCCGCUCUAAGCGUUACUGAGCAGGCGCACGUCGGAGUGUAGGAGUGCUUAUUUGCAUAAAGAGAAGGAAGAGGCGGGACGCCAAAGUCCCAUAUACCAGUCAACUCCUCGCUGGGCUUUAGCUCCUCCUACUACACCCACCCACCGAGAUGGAUACGAGUUCACACAACAAGCCUCUCUCUGAAUCCAAGGAGUGUGUCCGUCAUAAUUCUGAAAAUGACUUUUUUAUCUUGGGUACCGGGCCGCUUGUGACCCCUCAGAAGCAUGCAGCAGACAUGACUCCUAAUCUUUGCACCCCUGAUACCUUUAAGUCACCUUUGGACUUCUCCACAGUAACCGUAGAGCAGUUGGGAAUUACACCUGAAAGCUUUGUUAAGACCCCUUCAGGAAAGUCAUCAUCUUCCCUUCAGAAGAACAGACGCCGUUCUACGGUUGGUGUGCGGGGCUCUCCAGAAACAAACUGUUUGAUCCGCUUCAUAGCUCAGCAGCGAAGCCUGAAGAAGGCUGUAAGGUCUCCAAUGGCCCGCGAUCCCUACUUAGAGGGUAGCCCAAGACUGUAUCGAAAUGCCAGUGUUUUAAGAGAGCGAAUGUCUGCUUU
rnacentral:lncRNA from 1 species